GAUCAUGGCUCAGGGUGAACGCUAGCGGCAGGCUUAACACAUGCAAGUCGAGGGGCAGCAUAAUGGAUAGCAAUAUCUAUGGUGGCGACCGGCGCACGGGUGCGUAACGCGUAUGCAACCUACCUUUAACAGGGGGAUAACACUGAGAAAUUGGUACUAAUACCCCAUAAUAUCAUAGAAGGCAUCUUUUAUGGUUGAAAAUUCCGAUGGUUAGAGAUGGGCAGUGCGUUGUAUUAGUCG
rnacentral:rRNA from 1 species